AGCGAACGCUGGCGGCAGGCCUAACACAUGCAAGUCGAACGAAGUCUUCGGACUUAGUGGCGGACGGGUGAGUAACACGUGGGAGCGUGCCUUUAGGUUCGGAAUAACUCAGGGAAACUUGUGCUAAUACCGAAUGUGCCCUUCGGGGGAAAGAUUUGUCGCCUUUAGAGCGGCCCGCGUCUGAUUAGCUAGUUGGUGAGGUAAAGGCUCACCAAGGCGACGAUCAGUAGCUGGACUGAGAGGAUGAUCAGCCACAUUGGGACUGAGACACGGCCCAAACUCCUACGGGAGGCAGCAGUGGGGAAUCUUGCGCAAUGGGCGAAAGCCUGACGCAGCCAUGCCGCGUGAAUGAUGAAGGUCUUAGGAUUGUAAAAUUCUUUCACCGGGGGCGAUAAUGACGGUACCCGGAGAAGAAGCCCCGGCUAACUUCGUGCCAGCCGCCGCAGUAAGAC
rnacentral:rRNA from 1 species